AUUGAACUCUGGCGGCAGGCCUAACACAUGCAAGUCGAGCGGAGCGGCGGACGGGUGAGUAAUGCCUAGGAAUCUGCCUGGUAGUGGGGGAUACCGUCCGGAAACGUGCGCUACUACCGCAUACUAUCAGAUGAUACUCGGUCGGAUUAGCUAGUUGGUGGGGUAAAGGCCUACCAAGGCGACGAUCCGUAACUGGUCUGAGAGGAUGAUCAGUCAAACUGUAACUGAGAUACGGUCCAGACUCCUACGGGAGGCAGCAGUGGGGAAUAUUGGACAAUGGGCGAAAGCCUGAGCCAGCCAUGCCGCGGGGGUGAAGAAGGCCUUCGGAUUGUAAAGCACUUUAAGUUGGGAGGCGUUACCAACAGAAUAAGCACCGGCUAACUUCGUGCCAGCAGCCGCGGUAAUAC
rnacentral:rRNA from 1 species